rnacentral:tRNA from 1 species
UGCCCUGUAGCUCAAUGGCAGAGCAGCCGUCUGUUAAGCGGUAGCGUGUAGGUUCGAGUCCUACCGGGGCAG